rnacentral:rRNA from 1 species
UACAGAGGUCUCAAGCGUUGUUCGGAUUCAUUGGGCGUAAAGAGCUCGUAGGCGGUUUGUCGCGUCUGCUGUGAAAACUCGGGGCUUAACCCCGGGCCUGCAGUGGGUACGGGCAGACUAGAGUGCGGUAGGGGAGACUGGAAUUCCUGGUGUAGCGGUGAAAUGCGCAGAUAUCAGGAGGAACACCGGUGGCGAAGGCGGGUCUCUGGGCCGUAACUGACGCUGAGGAGCGAAAGCGUGGGGAGCAAACAGG